rnacentral:rRNA from 1 species
GAAAGAUGAAUCAAAGAAGGUAAUAAUCCUGUAGUCGAAAAUGUUGUCUCUCUUGAGUGGAUCCUGAGUACGACGGAGCACGUGAAAUUCCGUCGGAAUCUGGGAGGACCAUCUCCUAAGGCUAAAUACUCUCUAGUGACCGAUAGUGAACCAGUACCGUGAGGGAAAGGUGAAAAGCACCCCGGAAGGGGAGUGAAAUAGAACCUGAAACCGUGUGCUUACAAGUAGUCAGAGCCCGUUAAUGGGUGAUGGCGUGCCUUUUGUAGAAUGAACCGGCGAGUUACGAUUUGAUGCAAGGUUAAGCAGUAAAUGUGGAGCCGUAGCGAAAGCGAGUCUGAAUAGGGCGUUUAGUAUUUGGUCGUAGACCCGAAACCAGGUGAUCUACCCUUGGUCAGGUUGAAGUUCAGGUAACACUGAAUGGAGGACCGAACCGACUUACGUUGAAAAGUGAGCGGAUGAACUGAGGGUAGCGGAGAAAUUCCAAUCGAACCUGGAGAUAGCUGGUUCUCUCCGAAAUAGCUUUAGGGCUAGCCUCAAGUGAUGAUUAUUGGAGGUAGAGCACUGUUUGGACGAGGGGCCCCUCUCGGGUUACCGAAUUCAGACAAACUCCGAAUGCCAAUUAAUUUAACUUGGGAGUCAGAACAUGGGUGAUAAGGUCCGUGUUCGAAAGGGAAACAGCCCAGACCACCAGCUAAGGUCCCAAAAUAUAUGUUAAGUGGAAAAGGAUGUGGCGUUGCCCAGACAACUAGGAUGUUGGCUUAGAAGCAGCCAUCAUUUAAAGAGUGCGUAAUAGCUCACUAGUCGAGUGACACUGCGCCGAAAAUGUACCGGGGCUAAACAUAUUACCGAAGCUGUGGAUUGUCCUUUGGACAAUGGUAGGAGAGCGUUCUAAGGGCGUUGAAGCAUGAUCGUAAGGACAUGUGGAGCGCUUAGAAGUGAGAAUGCCGGUGUGAGUAGCGAAAGACGGGUGAGAAUCCCGUCCACCGAUUGACUAAGGUUUCCAGAGGAAGGCUCGUCCGCUCUGGGUUAGUCGGGUCCUAAGCUGAGGCCGACAGGCGUAGGCGAUGGAUAACAGGUUGAUAUUCCUGUACCACCUAUAAUCGUUUUAAUCGAUGGGGGGGACGCAGUAGGAUAGGCGAAGCGUGCGAUUGGAUUGCACGUCUAAGCAGUAAGGCUGAGUAUUAGGCAAAUCCGGUACUCGUUAAGGCUGAGCUGUGAUGGGGAGAAGACAUUGAGUCUUCGAGUCGUUGAUUUCACACUGCCGAGAAAAGCCUCUAGAUAGAAAAUAGGUGCCCGUACCGCAAACCGACACAGGUAGUCAAGAUGAGAAUUCUAAGGUGAGCGAGCGAACUCUCGUUAAGGAACUCGGCAAAAUGACCCCGUAACUUCGGGAGAAGGGGUGCUCUUUAGGGUUAACGCCCAGAAGAGCCGCAGUGAAUAGGCCCAAGCGACUGUUUAUCAAAAACACAGGUCUCUGCUAAACCGUAAGGUGAUGUAUAGGGGCUGACGCCUGCCCGGUGCUGGAAGGUUAAGAGGAGUGGUUAGCUUCUGCGAAGCUACGAAUCGAAGCCCCAGUAAACGGCGGCCGUAACUAUAACGGUCCUAAGGUAGCGAAAUUCCUUGUCGGGUAAGUUCCGACCCGCACGAAAGGCGUAACGAUUUGGGCACUGUCUCAACGAGAGACUCGGUGAAAUCAUAGUACCUGUGAAGAUGCAGGUUACCCGCGACAGGACGGAAAGACCCCGUGGAGCUUUACUGUAGCCUGAUAUUGAAAUUCGGCACAGCUUGUACAGGAUAGGUAGGAGCCUUUGAAACGUGAGCGCUAGCUUACGUGGAGGCGCUGGUGGGAUACUACCCUAGCUGUGUUGGCUUUCUAACCCGCACCACUUAUCGUGGUGGGAGACAGUGUCAAGCGGGCAGUUUGACUGGGGCGGUCGCCUCCUAAAAGGUAACGGAGGCGCUCAAAGGUUCCCUCAGAAUGGUUGGAAAUCAUUCAUAGAGUGUAAAGGCAUAAGGGAGCUUGACUGCGAGACCUACAAGUCGAGCAGGGUCGAAAGACGGACUUAGUGAUCCGGUGGUUCCGCAUGGAAGGGCCAUCGCUCAACGGAUAAAAGCUACCCCGGGGAUAACAGGCUUAUCUCCCCCAAGAGUUCACAUCGACGGGGAGGUUUGGCACCUCGAUGUCGGCUCAUCGCAUCCUGGGGCUGUAGUCGGUCCCAAGGGUUGGGCUGUUCGCCCAUUAAAGCGGUACGCGAGCUGGGUUCAGAACGUCGUGAGACAGUUCGGUCCCUAUCCGUCGUGGGCGUAGGAAAUUUGAGAGGAGCUGUCCUUAGUACGAGAGGACCGGGAUGGACAUACCUCUGGUGUACCAGUUGUCGUGCCAACGGCAUAGCUGGGUAGCUAUGUGUGGACGGGAUAAGUGCUGAAAGCAUCUAAGCAUGAAGCCCCCCUCAAGAUGAGAUUUCCCAACUUCGGUUAUAAGAUCCCUCAAAGAUGAUGAGGUUAAUAGGUUCGAGGUGGAAGCAUGGUGACAUGUGGAGCUGACGAAUACUAAUCGAUCGAAGACUUAAUCAA